GGCAGAUAAUGUCUUUUCACGAUGGUCUUCAGAUGCCCGCCACGGGCACUGCUGAGAAACCCACUUGGCACACCUGAUGUCAGCAG
ensembl:snoRNA small nucleolar RNA, C/D box 35B